UACGUAGGGUGCGAGCGUGUCCGGGAUUAUUGGGCGUAAAGAGCUUGUAGGCGGUUUGUCGCGUCUGCCGUGAAAAUUCGAGGCUCAACCUCGAACUUGCGGUGGGUACGGGGCAGACUAGAGUGUGGUAGGGGAGACUGGAAUUCCUGGUGUAGCGGUGAAAUGCGCAGAUAUCAGGAGGAACACCGAUGGCGAAGGCAGGUCUCUGGGCCACUACUGACGCUGAGAAGCGAAAGCAUGGGGAGCGAACAGG
rnacentral:rRNA from 1 species